UAGCUGGGACUACAGGCAUGCACUGCACAUGGCUUGUGUUUUGAUUCAGAACAGGUAGAAAUUCAUCUAUAUGAAUUUCUGUAUAUCAGGUAGAUUAAUUUCUGCCUGUUCUGAAUCAAAACAAAAACAAGCCAUGGAUGGGAAGGGGUAUAGGAAAGUGGGAGGCAACGCCCAAGUUCGGAAAGGCUUGUGUGGUGGGGAGAAGAAAAGAAAAACCUGGGCUGGGCGCUAAGCCACACACCUGUAAUUCCAAAACUUUGGGAGGCCGAGGUGGGGGGAUUGCUGGAGCCCAGAAGUGUGAGACCAGCCUGGGCAACACAGCAAAACCCCGUCUCUACCAAAAAAAAAAAAAAAGGGAAAGAAAAAAACCCGGAAAGCCAGGUUUCCUGCAUUCUGCCUUUCUAGGCAGGGCCAGAGUAAGCUGCUGCUGGGUGGGCUGCGUGAAAGCUAGUGAGUAUGCAACAAGCCUGGCCCUUGGGAAGCAGUAACCACAGGUCAAAGAGCAAAGCAGUGACAACACUGCCUGCCCUCAAGACUGGGCCAGGGCCUGGGAUUGGGCCACUGGGCCAACACCUCAGUAAGGAGUUUUUUUUAUUUUUUUUUGAGAUGGAGUCUCCCUCUGUCGCCCAGGCUGACCUCAGGUGAACCGCCCAUCUCAGCCUCCCAAAGUGCCGGGAUUACAGCCGUGAGCCACCACACCUGGCUUGGGGGUUAGAUCUUUACCUUGUCCUACUUUAAAAAUCAAUGAGGCCAGGCAUGGUGGCUCACACGUGUAAUCCCAGCACUUUGGGAGGCCGAGAUGGGAGGAUUGCUUGAGUCCAGGAGUUUGAGACCAGCCUGGCCAACAUGUGGAGACCCUGUUGCUACAAAUUUUUUUUUUUUUUUGGUUGCGGGGGAUGGAGUCUCACUCUGUCACCCAGGCUGGAGUGCAGUGGUGCAAUCUCGGCUCACUGCAACCUCCGCCUCUUGGUUUCAAGCAAUUGUCCUGCCUCAGCCUCCCAAAUAAGAGGCUGAAACCACCCCAGGCCCAAAAAAUAAAUUAAAAAUUAAAAAAAUUAUUGGCCGGGUACAGUGGCUCAUACCUAUAAUCCUAGCACUCUGAGAGGCCGAGGUGGGUGAAUCAUCUGAGGUGAGGAGUUCGAGACCAGCCUGGCCAUCAUGGUGAAACCCCGUCUCUAUUAAAAAUACAAAAAUUAGCCAGACGUGGUUGUGUGUGGCUGUAAUCCCAGCUACUCGGGAGGCUGAAGCAGGAUAAUCACUUGAACCCAGGAGGAAGAGGUUGCAGUGAGACAAGAUUGUGCCAGUGCACUCCAGCCUGGGUGACAGAGUGAGACUCUUGCAAACAAAUAAAAAAGUAUUUAAAUAAUUUUUUCUUUUUUUAGACACAUGGUCUCACUAUGUUGCCUAGGCUAGUCUCGAACUCCUGGGUUCAAGCGAUCCUCCAGCCUUGGUCUCCCAAAGUGCUAGGAUUACAGGUGUGAGCCUCCACACCUGGUAUACAAAAAAUAAGAUGUUUAAAUUAGCCAGGUACAGUGGUGCAUACCUAUGGUCCCAACUAUUCAGGAGGAUCACUUGAGCCUGAGAGGUUGAGGCCUGCAGUGAGUCAUGAUCACGCCACUGCACUCCAGCCUGGGUGACAAAGGGAGAUCCUGUUCCAAAAAAGAAAGGUAGGGGAAAGGGUUAGGCAUGGUAGUUCCUGCCUGUAAUCCCAGCACUUUGGGAGGCCAAGGCAGGUGGAUCACUUGAGGUCAGGAGUUCGAGAACAGCCUGGCCAACAUGGGGAAACCCCGUCUCUACUGAAAAUACAAAAAUUAGCUGGGUGUGGUGGCGGUUGCCUGUAAUCCCAGCUACUUGGGAGGCUGAAGCAGAGAAUCACUUGAACCCAGGAG
rnacentral:lncRNA from 10 species